rnacentral:lncRNA from 1 species
UUCAAGCAAAAUUUGGAAAACAAUUUAAGGAACUGCUUAAAAGAGAACCCUUCUUUGAAACAACCCUUCUUUUUAUUCCACCAAUGAAAUUUACAUUUACAAUAGUUUACAAUAGCAUAAUUUUGAUAAUAAUCAACUUUCUUUUCUUUUUCUACGUUUCCGGUUUGAUGAAGUUUCAUCAGAAGUGGAAUCGAGGCCAAAACAUUUGAGAAAUGCUACUGUGGCGGAUUGGAAGAAUUGACAAGGGUGGAAACUCAGUUUUGUUGAAGACUCUCCUGCCUCCAUAAUCUCUCCGCUUCUCAUGCUUGAAGAACAUCCUUUCUCGCCUUUAAUACUUCGGUUUCGUCCACCCUGUUAAAGCAAUACUCAAUGCAUCAUCAAUUGAGAUGUUAUAAUUAUAUAAUGCAUCACUUAUUUGAUGUUUAUUAAGAAAGAUUGCAAGAAGAAUUUUAUAUGAUAUUUUAUUUCAUAUAGAAUGAUUGAUUCAUUUCUUGGGGGAAAUAUAUCAUGUGUUAAACUUUUACAAAAGGCACAUCACUUUAUAAAGAACUUUGGUACUACUUAUUUCUCAAUCAUCAUGCAUUAUAAAGAAUUUGUACUACUACUUUUUAAGCAAAUAAAUCAAAAGAAAAAUCAUGUUGACUUUUUUUGUGACCAAUUAUUUU